GUCCACACGGUAAACGAUGAAUACUCGCUGUUUGCGAUAUACUGCAAGCGGCCAAGCGAAAGCGUUAAGUAUUCCACCUGGGGAGUACGCCGGCAACGGUGAAACUCAAAGGAAUUGACGGGGGCCCGCACAAGCGGAGGAACAUGUGGUUUAAUUCGAUGAUACGCGAGGAACCUUACCCGGGCUUAAAUUGCAGAUGAAUUACGGUGAAAGCCGUAAGCCGCAAGGCAUCUGUGAAGGUGCUGCAUGGUUGUCGU
rnacentral:rRNA from 1 species